AAUUUGGAGCUCGAUUCUUAGGACCUUUCCCCAUUGUUACCAAGAUCUCUCCUGUGGCAUUUAGAUUGUGGUUACCUUCCACUCUGAAGGUUCAUCCGGUGUUUCAUCGAUCUUUACUAAAACUGGACACGUCAUCUAACCGGUCCUCAGUAGUUGCGGAGGUCUCGGAUCCCACAUUAAUUCCGGUGGGAGGGGCCUUUGCGGGGAGGGAUAGUGUUGUGACUGCGCCUUCGGGGAUUAUGGUUGAUGGGAUGGAAUUCGAAGAGGAAGAAAAAACCCUCGUGAUGAGGGUUCACUGGAGGAGUUGCGCAGGAAGCGACUUAGAGAGCUAUAUGGGGGAUCUUCUGAGGAAGAUUCAGAUGGGGAGAUGGAUGCUGAGGAACAGGUGGUGGCUGGGGAAGCAGGCACUGAAUGGGCACAGCCACCGGAGAUGUCUGGGGAUUUGGGGUCUAUGGAUACUUCUGAACCUGGGGUUUCUGCAGGAGCUGAUCCCAAUUGGGAUGCUUGGAGAAGGGAGGAUGGUUCUUUAAGUGUUCAUGGGGCUAAGUGUGGGCAGGAUGAUUGGGACUACGACGAAUUGCUAGGUACUCCAGAUCCACGAGCUCUAGCUGUGUGGAGCUCAGACUCUGAGUAGAUUUGGGACACCUGGUGUUUGGGUGUGAGUGUUUGGUCACCCAGGAGGAAGGGGAAUAAAAUGGGAAUGUUUGGCCACUGCACUUUGCGUGUGGCAAGGUGUUGCUGAGGCCCCAUUGGGAUCUCUGUGUUUCCAUGAAGACUGGACUUCGACUAUGAUUUGAAUCUGUUGUUAUCACCUAGCUUGGCUCUCGCUGUGUCUUAUCGUGGACCUGUUUUGGAUGACUGCACCCUCUUCAGACCUUGGAUCGGAAUUUGACCUUACUACUGCCUUCGCCCUGUGAUUGAUGACUACUAUCGGCUUUUGACUCCUGGCUUGCUCUUUGGACACCGCUGUUAUCUCCUGACCUGACCUUGGAAUCCCGGACGACGUCUUUUCACCAUCCUUUUGGAGCCUUCGGCUUUAUCCACAUUGUGGAAGCAGUCUACUGCAUUCUUAGUUUGUUUGUUUGUUUCCUGACCAAUUUGGUGUUUUCUUUUGGGAACUGUUCCUUUGAAAACUACAGAGCCGGCUGGCAGGGCUUGGACUCAGAAAGUGCAGUUUGCACUAAGUUUGUUUAGCUUUGUUUUUACCUGCUUGUGUUGCUGAAUUAUAUUUUUGUUUGAACUGCUCUUGAAGCACUGAUAGUGAAGUGUUUCAAGGUUUUUUCUGUGUUAACAUUACUUUUUGGCUUAUCUGCUGAAUAAACUCUAUUUUUGUUCGCUAAUUGGCGUCUGACUCUUGACAGUUGCAGAGCUUUAGUUAGGUCCUAAUUUUAUGUCUACUAGUUCUGAGGAAUGCUGGAGAAAAAGCUCUGCAGAAUCUGUUUCAGGAGGAUAGGCUGUAAAAUGGAUCACCCCUUUAUCUUUGUAUUCUAUGAGCUCAUGUUAUCUCUUUCUCUAAUAUAUCCAAUGUUAAAGGCUUGGGAAAACUGAACACUAACCCUCCCCACUCAAUGACAUGGGGAAGAACGCUUCUAUUGUAAAUGCAUGCAUAUAUGGUGUAAUUUUUUGCGUACUGCAUAUUGAUAUUAAGUGCUGCAUUUCAAAAUUUUUUUUACUAUAACUGAGUUUGUUGAGCUAUGCUUUUUUGUAACCUAUGAUUAUUUUGAACUUUCUUUGCCCAUUAUAUGAUAUAUUGCUUACUAUUCAUACAGCCAUGAACCCCUUUACUAUCCAGUCUUAUACAAACUUACCCAGAAAACGCCACUGCCAUAGGUUACUUUUUAGAAAGUAUAUGCUUACUGGAGUUGGCAGAUUGUAAUUUUGUCAAUGCCUAUUGUUUCCAAAUGCCGGCUGAGAUCUUUUGGCACGGCACCCAAUGUGCCAAUCACCACCGGGACCACCUGCACUGGUUUCUGCCAGAGUCUUUGAAGUUCAGUCUUGAGGUCCUGAUAGUGGCUGAGUUUUUCCUGUUGUCUUUCGUCAAUGCAACUGUCAUCUGGGAUGGCAACAUCAAUGAUCCAAACCUUUUUCUUUUCCACAACUGUGAUGUCUGGUGUGUUGUGUUCCAGAACUUUGUCAGACUGGAUUCGGAAGUCCCACAGUAUCUUUGCGUGCUCAUUUUCCAAUACUUUUGCAGGUUUGUGAUCCCACCAGUUCUUUGCUGCUGGGAGGUGGUACUUGAGGCAUAAGUUCCAAUGAAUCACUUGGGCCACAUAGUUGUGCCUCUGUUUGUAGUCUGUCUGUGCGAUUUUCUUACAGCAGCUGAGGAUAUGAUCAAUGGUUUCAUCGGUUUCCUUGCACAGUCUGCAUUUUGGGUCAUCAGCUGAUUUUUCGAUCUUGGCCUUAAUUGCAUUUGUUCUGAUGGCUUGCUCCUGGGCUGUAAGGAUCAGGCCUUCUGUCUCCUUCUUUAGUGUCUCAUUUGUGAGCCAUAGCCAGGUCUUCUCCUUAUCAGCUUUUCCUUCAAUUUUGUCAAGCAACUUUCCAUGCAAUAUUUUGUUGUGCCAGCUGUCAGCUCUAGUUUGUAGUGCGGUUUUCUCGUACUGUUUAUUAUUAUACAACUGAAUAGUAACCAGAGGCGAAAUCUGUAUAAAUAUAACUCUUGUCUUCAUGAGUCAUAUGUUUUGCCAUUUUGAACAUUUCCUGUCAGAUAAAUUUGUGGUUUCUGGAUCGA